rnacentral:misc_RNA from 1 species
GAUGAAGAACGUAGCGAAAUGCGAUACUUGGUGUGAAUUGCAGAAUCCCGUGAACCAUCGAGUCUUUGAACGCAAGUUGCGCCCGAGGCCUCCUGGUCGAGGGCACGUCUGCCUGGGUGUCACGCAUCGUCGCCCCCUCUCCCCUCGGCUCGCGAGGGCGGGGGCGGAUACUGGUCUCCCGCGCGCUCCCGCUCGCGGUUGGCCCAAAAUCGAGUCCUCGGCGACGGUCGCCACGACGAGCGGUGGUUGAGAGACCAUCGGACACGGUCGUGCGCGCGCCUGUCGCCCCCGGGAUCUCCUGGACCCUCGGGCAUCGAAAUUCUAGGAUGCUCUCGUUGCGACCCCAGGUCAGGCGGGACUACCCGCUGAGUUUAAGCAUAUCAAUAAGCGGAGGA